UGCAGUCGAGCGGACAGAUGGGAGCUUGCUCCCUGAUGUCAGCGGCGGACGGGUGAGUAACACGUGGGUAACCUGCCUGUAAGACUGGGAUAACUCCGGGAAACCGGGGCUAAUACCGGAUGCUUGAUUGAACCGCAUGGUUCAAUUAUAAAAGGUGGCUUUUACCUACCACUUACAAAUGGACCCCCGGCGCAUUACCUAUUUGGGGAGGUAACGGCUCACCAAGGCAACAAUGCUUACCCAACCUGAAAGGUGGAUCGGCCACCCUGGAACUGAAACACGGCCCAAACUCCUACGGAAGGCACCAUUAGGAAAUCUUCCGCAUGGAACAAAAGUCUGACGAACCACCCCCCCGGGAUUGAUGAAGGUUUUCGAAUCGAAAAACUCUGUUGUUAGGAAAAAACAAUUACCGUUCAAUUAGGGGGGUACCUUGACGGUACUUAACCAAAAAGCAACGG
rnacentral:rRNA from 1 species